rnacentral:tRNA from 1 species
UGGCCCGUUGGUCAAGCGGUUAAGACACCGCCCUUUCACGGCGGUAACACGGGUUCGAGUCCCGUACGGGUCAUAGU